rnacentral:rRNA from 1 species
AUGCAGUCGUACGGUGAAGCCCAGCUUGCUGGGUGGAUCAGUGGCGAACGGGUGAGUAACACGUGAGCAACCUGCCCUCCACUUCGGGAUAAGCCCUGGAAACGGGGUCUAAUACCGGAUAUGAGCUUCCACCGCAUGGUGGGGGUUGGAAAGUUUUUCGGUGGGGGAUGGGCUCGCGGCCUAUCAGCUUGUUGGUGGGGUGAUGGCCUACCAAGGCGUCGACGGGUAGCCGGCCUGAGAGGGCGACCGGCCACACUGGGACUGAGACACGGCCCAGACUCCUACGGGAGGCAGCAGUGGGGAAUAUUGCACAAUGGGCGCAAGCCUGAUGCAGCGACGCCGCGUGAGGGAUGACGGCCUUCGGGUUGUAAACCUCUUUCAGCAGGGAAGAAGCGCAAGUGACGGUACCUGCAGAAGAAGCGCCGGCUAACUACGUGCCAGCAGCCGCGGUAAUACGUAGGGCGCAAGCGUUGUCCGGAAUUAUUGGGCGUAAAGAGCUCGUAGGCGGUCUGUCGCGUCUGGUGUGAAAACCCGAGGCUCAACCUCGGGCUGGCAUCGGGUACGGGCGGACUAGAGUGCUGUAGGGGAGACUGGAAUUCCUGGUGUAGCGGUGGAAUGCGCAGAUAUCAGGAGGAACACCGAUGGCGAAGGCAGGUCUCUGGGCAGUUACUGACGCUGAGGAGCGAAAGCAUGGGGAGCGAACAGGAUUAGAUACCCUGGUAGUCCAUGCCGUAAACGUUGGGCACUAGGUGUGGGGACCAUUCCACGGUCUCCGUGCCGCAGCUAACGCAUUAAGUGCCCCGCCUGGGGAGUACGGCCGCAAGGCUAAAA